rnacentral:rRNA from 1 species
ACUUAUAUUCUGUAGCAAGGUUAACCGAAUAGGGGAGCCGAAGGGAAACCGAGUCUUAACUGGGCGUUAAGUUGCAGGGUAUAGACCCGAAACCCGGUGAUCUAGCCAUGGGCAGGUUGAAGGUUGGGUAACACUAACUGGAGGACCGAACCGACUAAUGUUGAAAAAUUAGCGGAUGACUUGUGGCUGGGGGUGAAAGGCCAAUCAAACCGGGAGAUAGCUGGUUCUCCCCGAAAGCUAUUUAGGUAGCGCCUCGUGAAUUCAUCUCCGGGGGUAGAGCACUGUUUCGGCAAGGGGGUCAUCCCGACUUACCAACCCGAUGCAAACUGCGAAUACCGGAGAAUGUUAUCACGGGAGACACACGGCGGGUGCUAACGUCCGUCGUGAAGAGGGAAACAACCCAGACCGCCAGCUAAGGUCCCAAAGUCAUGGUUAAGUGGGAAACGAUGUGGGAAGGCCCAGACAGCCAGGAUGUUGGCUUAGAAGCAGCCAUCAUUUAAAGAAAGCGUAAUAGCUCACUGGUCGAGUCGGCCUGCGCGGAAGAUGUAACGGGGCUAAACCAUGCACCGAAGCUGCGGCAGCGACGCUUAUGCGUUGUUGGGUAGGGGAGCGUUCUGUAAGCCUGUGAAGGUGUGCUGUGAGGCAUGCUGGAGGUAUCAGAAGUGCGAAUGCUGACAUAAGUAACGAUAAAGCGGGUGAAAAGCCCGCUCGCCGGAAGACCAAGGGUUCCUGUCCAACGUUAAUCGGGGCAGGGUGAGUCGACCCCUAAGGCGAGGCCGAAAGGCGUAGUCGAUGGGAAACAGGUUAAUAUUCCUGUACUUGGUGUUACUGCGAAGGGGGGACGGAGAAGGCUAUGUUGGCCGGGCGACGGUUGUCCCGGUUUAAGCGUGUAGGCUGGUUUUCCAGGCAAAUCCGGAAAAUCAAGGCUGAGGCGUGAUGACGAGGCACUACGGUGCUGAAGCAACAAAUGCCCUGCUUCCAGGAAAAGCCUCUAAGCAUCAGGUAACAUCAAAUCGUACCCCAAACCGACACAGGUGGUCAGGUAGAGAAUACCAAGGCGCUUGAGAGAACUCGGGUGAAGGAACUAGGCAAAAUGGUGCCGUAACUUCGGGAGAAGGCACGCUGAUAUGUAGGUGAAGCGACUUGCUCGUGGAGCUGAAAUCAGUCGAAGAUACCAGCUGGCUGCAACUGUUUAUUAAAAACACAGCACUGUGCAAACACGAAAGUGGACGUAUACGGUGUGACGCCUGCCCGGUGC